AUGUGGGAGCCCAUGCUUACAGUCCCUUUGGUGAGGACGUGGAUGGAAGUCCUUCCUCCAGGGAUCGACGUUUUCAGGGCAGAAGGAAGAGCUCUCCUCCUAUCGACGGGCAAGAUGGAUGCACCCAGCAGUGCCCACAACCUUCCAGAACGGAAUAAUGAUUUUGCCAUGUGGGAGCCCAUGCUUACAAUUGAGCAUGUGGAGAUAUUUAAGUGUGCAUAUUUGAUACAUUUUCCUUUUGUUGAUCAUUUGCUUCAUGCUUGUUCUGCGGAUUGGAGUUUGUUCUCAAAGAAGGAGACACUGAUCGCUAGCGAAACAUAUGACCAAGAGUCCCCAGGACCUACAUCAUCGACUAAUAACCAGCCUCAAACACCUGCCCAGGUCAGCUAUCUUUCUCAAACCAGUAUUUUUUGGUUUGAUCAUUCGCCAUGUCAUGUGAUUUUGAUUUAA
rnacentral:rRNA from 1 species